AGAGUUUGAUCCUGGCUCAGAUUGAACGCUGGCGGCGUGCCUAACACAUGCAAGUCGAGCGGUAACAGGUGUAGCAAUACAUGCUGACGAGCGGCGAACGGGUGAGUAAUGCUUUGGAAUCUUCCCAGUAGUGGGGAAUAACCAGUCGAAAGAUUGGCUAAUACCGCAUACGUCUGUAAAGGGAAAGCGGGGGCUCGUAAGACCUCGCGCUAUUGGAUGAGCCAAAGUCGGAUUAGCUAGUUGGUGGGGUAAUGGCCUACCAAGGCGACAAUCCGUAGCUGGUCUGAGAGGACGACCAGCCACACCGGAACUGAGACACGGUCCGGACUCCUACGGGAGGCAGCAGUGGGGAAUAUUGGACAAUGGGGGAAACCCUGAUCCAGCGACGCCGCGUGUGUGAAGAAGGCCUGCGGGUUGUAAAGCACUUUUAGUGGGGACAAAAAGCUACGGACUAAUACUCUGUGGUCUUGAUUUAACCCAAAGAAAAAGCACCGGCUAACUCUGUGCCAGCAGCCGCGGUAAUACAGAGGGUGCGAGCGUUAAUCGGAAUUACUGGGCGUAAAGCGCGCGUAGACGGUUUUGUAAGUCAGAUGUGAAAUCCCUGGGCUCAACCUGGGAACUGCAUUUGAGACUGCAUGGCUAGAGUAUCGAAGAGGGAAGUGGAAUUUCCGGUGUAGCGGUGAAAUGCGUAGAUAUCGGAAGGAACACCAGUGGCGAAAGCGACUUCCUGGUCGAAUACUGACGUUCAUGUGCGAAAGCGUGGGGAGCAAACAGGAUUAGAUACCCCAGUAGUCC
rnacentral:rRNA from 1 species